UACGGGGGGAGCAAGCGUUGUUCGGAUUUACUGGGCGUAAAGGGCGCGUAGGCGGCCGCCGCAAGUCGACUGUGAAAUCUCCGGGCUUAACCCGGAAAGGUCAGCCGAUACUGCGGGGCUAGAGUGCAGAAGGGGCAACUGGAAUUCUCGGUGUAGCGGUGAAAUGCGUAGAUAUCGAGAGGAACACCUGCGGCGAAGGCGGGUUGCUGGGCUGACACUGACGCUGAUGCGCGAAAGCUAGGGGAGCGAACGGG
rnacentral:rRNA from 1 species